UAUUAACUCUGGCGGCGUGCCUAAUACAUGCAAGUCGAGCGAACGGACGAGAAGCUUGCUUUUCUGAUGUUAGCGGCGGACGGGUGAGUAACACGUGGAUAACCUACCUAUAAGACUGGGAUAACUUCGGGAAACCGGAGCUAAUACCGGAUAAUAUUUUGAACCGCAUGGUUCAAAAGUGAAAGACGGUCUUGCUGUCACUUAUAGAUGGAUCCGCGCUGCAUUAGCUAGUUGGUAAGGUAACGGCUUACCAAGGCAACGAUGCAUAGCCGACCUGAGAGGGUGAUCGGCCACACUGGAACUGAGACACGGUCCAGACUCCUACGGGAGGCAGCAGUAGGGAAUCUUCCGCAAUGGGCGAAAGCCUGACGGAGCAACGCCGCGUGAGUGAUGAAGGUCUUCGGAUCGUAAAACUCUGUUAUUAGGGAAGAACAUAUGUGUAAGUAACUGUGCACAUCUUGACGGUACCUAAUCAGAAAGCCACGGCUAACUACGUG
rnacentral:rRNA from 1 species